rnacentral:rRNA from 1 species
UCUGGAGACAGGUGCUGCAUGGCUGUCGUCAGCUCGUGUCGUGAGAUGUGGGUUAAGUCCCGCAACGAGCGCAACCCUUGCCUUUAGUUGCCAGCAGUUCGGCUGGGCACUCUAAAGGGACUGCCGGUGUUAAACCGGAGGAAGGUGGGGAUGACGUCAAGUCCUCAUGGCCUUUUAUGACCAGGGCUACACACGUACUACAAUGGCCGAUACAAAGGGCAGCGACACUGCGAGGUGAAGCCAAUCCCGUAAAAUCGGUCUCAGUCCGGAUUGGAGUCUGCAACUCGACUCCAUGAAGUUGGAAUCGCUAGUAAUCGUGGAUCAGCAUGCCACGGUGAAUACGUUCCCGGGCCUU